UACGGAGGGGGCUAGCGUUGUUCGGAAUUACUGGGCGUAAAGCGCCCGUAGGCGGCUUUGCAAGUUAGAGGUGAAAGCCCGGGGCUCAACUCCGGAAUUGCCUUUAAAACUGCAUCGCUAGAAUUGUGGAGAGGUAAGUGGAAUUCCGAGUGUAGAGGUGAAAUUCGUAGAUAUUCGGAAGAACACCAGUGGCGAAGGCGACUUACUGGACACAUAUUGACGCUGAGGUGCGAAAGCGUGGGGAGCAAACAGG
rnacentral:rRNA from 1 species